UACGGAGGGAGCUAGCGUUGUUCGGAAUUACUGGGCGUAAAGCGCGCGUAGGCGGCUUUGUAAGUUAGAGGUGAAAGCCCGGGGCUCAACCCCGGAACUGCCUUUAAAACUGCAUCGCUUGAAUCCGGGAGAGGUGAGUGGAAUUCCGAGUGUAGAGGUGAAAUUCGUAGAUAUUCGGAAGAACACCAGUGGCGAAGGCGGCUCACUGGACCGGCAUUGACGCUGAGGCACGAAAGCGUGGGGAGCAAACAGG
rnacentral:rRNA from 1 species